rnacentral:rRNA from 1 species
UACGUAGGGGGCAAGCGUUGUCCGGAAUUAUUGGGCGUAAAGAGCGCGUAGGCGGCCCUGUAAGUCCGCUGUGAAAGUCAAGGGCUCAACCCUUGGAUGCCGGUGGAUACUGCAGGGCUAGAGUCCGGAAGAGGCGAGUGGAAUUCCUGGUGUAGCGGUGAAAUGCGUAGAGAUCGGAAAGAACACCAACGGCGAAAGCACUCUGCUGGGCCGACACUGACACUGAGAGACGAAAGCUAGGGGGAGCGAAUGGG